rnacentral:lncRNA from 1 species
AAAGGUGUGGAGAAUGAUAUAGAUGUAGAUGACAGCACUUCAGUAGAGGAAGUCUGAAUCAAUUUGGUUGCUGUAUUAAAAGAUUAUCUUCAAGUCAGCUUUUUCUUCUUCAUUUGGAUAGCUAUAUGCUGAAUAAUUAAUCAUGUUUGUAAUAAUUGUAAUCAGUUGGAAUUGUUGGAUUGGGCAAGAUCGGAUCAGCAAUAGCAAAAAGAGCCGAAGCUUUCAACUGCUCUAUCAGUUACCACUCAAGAUCUAAGAAACUAAAUACAAAGUACAAAUACAACUCAAAUACAAAGCCUAGAUAACCAGAAGGUUAGCUACUCUUUUAUUUUCUUUUUUUUUUUCGUUUUUUUAAAUUACCAUUCUUGUUUAUCGUAAGAUUAGUUUUUAAUGGAUAAUUAAUGGAUUAUGUUUUUAACUUAUUUCAAGUCUGUCCUUUGAUUAUUUUUUUAAUUUGCUUAUGCUGUUUAUCCUUAGAGACUUGUUAUGCUGUCUUUAAUUUUUCUAAUUUGCUUAUUCUGCUUAUUUUUGGGAUCUCUUUGCUACUGGUUGCAAUGCGUAUGUUCUUACUUACAAUAAUACUGUAAAAUGAAUCAUUUCUGCUCAAUUUCCAACCUUUUAAUAAUAUAAUACCUUUCGACAUGUAUGCUUGCCACGUUAAUUGUUUCUACC